CAAGUGCUCCCUCCGUCCGGUAUUAAGUGUCGCAACUUUGCCUAGAUACGCAUGUACCCUACAUGCGUAUCUAGGCAAAGUUGCGACACUUAAUACCGGACGGAAGGAGUAUACU
rfam:Brachypodium distachyon strain Bd21 chromosome 3, whole genome shotgun sequence.